AAAGCACCCCGGGAGGGGAGUGAAAGAGAACCUGAAACCCUAUGCUUACAAGCAGACACAGCAACCGCAAGGAAGUGGUGUCGUACUUUUUGUAGAACGGGCCGGCGAGUUACGAUGUUAUGCGAGAUUAAGCGGUAAAGCCGCGAAGUCGAAGCGAAAGCGAGUCUGAACAGGGCGAAUAAAGUAUAAUGUCGUAGACCCGAAACCGGAUGACCUAACCAUGAACAGGUUGAAGCAGCGGUAAAACGCUGUGGAGGACCGAACACACGCCUGUUGAAAUAGUCGGUGAUGAUUUGUGGUUAGCGGAGAAAUUCCAAUCGAAUCCGGAUAUAGCUGGUUCUCCUCGAAAUAGCUUUAGGGCUAGCCUGUCGCAAGAAUACCGAAGGUAGAGCACUGUAUGGUCUAGGGGGUUUCACGACCUACCGAAACUUAACAAACUUCGAAUGACGGAUAUUUGAUGCGAUGGAGUCAGACGGCGACAGAUAAGUGCCGUCGUCAAAAGGGAAACAGCCCAGAUCCACAGCUAAGGUCCCAAAGUACAGGUUAAGUGGUAAACGAUGUGUCAUUGCAUAAACAACCAGGAUGUUGGCUUAGAAGCAGCCACACAUUCAAAGAGUGCGUAAUAGCUCACUGGUCGAGUGAUGAUGCGCGGAAGAUUACCGGGGCUAAAACCUGACACCGAAGCUUGGGGAUAUGAGUAAUCAUAUCGGUAGAGGAGCAAUGUAUAGAGGUUGAAGUUAGAUCGAAAGAUUUAAUGGACGACAUACAAGAGAGAAUGCCGGCAUAAGUAGCGAGAGAGAGGCGAGAAACCUCUCCGUCGAGAGUCUGAGGUUUCCUGGGGAAGGUUCGUCCGCCCAGGGUUAGUCGGGGCCUAAGUCGAGGUCGAAAGGCGUAGAUGAUGGACAACCGGUGCAAAUUCCGGUACUACCGAAAUUCGUUUAAAUGAAGCAGUGACACAGGAAGAUAGUCAGACCGAGCGGAUGGAAAAGCUCGGCCAAGGCGAGACGAGGGCAUAGAGUGAAGUACCUAUGUAGAAAUCGGAGCGCUGAUGGGGACGUGAAGAAAAGUAAAUAAGCUGACGAAUCUACACUGGCGAGAAAAGCUGCUAAAUAAGGAUUAAGGUACCCGUACCGCAAACCGACACAGGUAGACGCGAAGAAAAUUCAAAGACGAACGGGAGAACCCUUGUUAAGGAACUCGGCAAAAUGACCCCGUAACUUCGGGAGAAGGGGAGCCACAGCGAUGUGGUCGCAGUGAAGAGGUCCAAGCAACUGUUUAUCAAAAACACAGGUCUCUGCGAAAUCGAAAGAUGACGUAUAGGGGCUGACGCCUGCCCAGUGCCGGAAGGUUAAGGGGAGAUGUGCAAGCAUUGAACUUAAGCCCCGGUGAACGGCGGCCGUAACUAUAACGGUCCUAAGGUAGCGAAAUUCCUUGUCGGGUAAGUUCCGACCCGCACGAAAGGCGUAAUGAUUUGGACGCUGUCUCAACAGGGGGCCCGGCGAAAUUGUAGUAUACGUGAAGAUGCGUAUUAACCCGCGACUGGACGGAAAGACCCCGUAGAGCUUUACUGUAACUUGAUAUUGGAACACGACAACGAAUGCACAGGAUAGGUGGGAGACGUUGAGAUAAGAGCUUUGGCUUUUAUGGAGUCACUGUUGGGAUACCACCCUUUCAUUGUUGGGUUUCUAACGGACAGCCGUGAACCGGUGUACGGACAGUGUCAGGUGGGCAGUUUGACUGGGGCGGUCGCCUCCUAAAGAGUAACGGAGGCGCCCAAAGGUUCCCUCAGGAUGGUUGGAAAUCAUCCAUAGAGUGCAAAGGCAGAAGGGAGCUUAACUGUGAGACAGGCAUGUCGAACAGAUGCGAAAGCAGGGCUUAGUGAUCCGGCGGUAGAGAAUGGAAUUGCCGUCGCUUAACGGAUAAAAGUUACCUCGGGGAUAACAGGCUGAUCUCCCCCAAGAGUUCACA
rnacentral:rRNA from 1 species